CACCUGGGUCUUGCCAACAGACCUGCGAGAAACAAAAACCAAAGUGCUUGUUUGCAGAUGGUUCUACUAAAUUAAAAGUAAACCUACAAUGCAUUCUGUUUAUUAGUGUGUCUAGUGUGUGUGUGCAACUCAUUAUUUGUUCCAUAUAAUCAGAACAUUUCCAACUUUUCCUUGUCAAGUUUUUAUCACUAGUAUCGCAAAAACUGAAACCAAAGUAGCAGAUACAAAAACAAGUAGCGAGUUUCCCAAGCACGCACAAUAUUCUAAUGUAGAAAUCAAGAAAGAUGAUUAUCAGCCAUCCAUUUUGAACAGACACUUUUUUCAGAAUACGUGAGUAGAGAUAUCUGAAGGAGAAUUUCUUUACCUACUGGUAGCAGCCUGGUCUAAAAGAAAUGAGACCUCCCUA
rnacentral:misc_RNA from 1 species